GUCCGCACGAGCGCACCCUUAUCCUUAGUUGCCAGCACGUAAUGGUGGGAACUCUNAGGAGACUGCCGGUGACAAACCGGAGGAAGGUGGGGACGACNUCAAGUCAUCAUGGCCCUUACGAGAUGGGCUACACACGUGCUACAAUGGCAAGUACAAAGGGUUGCAAACUCGCGAGAGUAAGCGGAUCCCAUAAAGCUUGUCGUAGUCCGGAUUGGAGUCUGCAACUCGACUCCAUGAAGUCGGAAUCGCUAGUAAUCGUGGAUCAGAAUGCCACGGUGAAUACGUUCCCGGGCCUUGUACACACCGCCCGUCACACCAUGGGAGUGGGCUGCAAAAGAAGUGGAUAGCUUAACCUUCGGGAGGGCGUUCACCACUUUGUGGUUCAUGACUGGGGUGAAGUCGUAACAAGGUGGCCGUAGGGGAACCUGCGGCUGGAUCACCUCCUU
rnacentral:rRNA from 1 species